rnacentral:rRNA from 1 species
CCUACGGGAGGCCGCAGUGGGGAAUCUUGGACAAUGCAGCAACCGUGAUCCAGCCCUACCGGUGUGAGCCAUGAAGGCGUUAGGGUGCGCGAGUAAGAAGCAGGGAAGAAAGUAAAUUGCUAAUCCCCGGGAUAAUGACGGUACCUGAAGAAGAAGCACAGCUACUACG